rnacentral:tRNA from 1 species
GGUAGAAUGGCCGAGUAGGCGGCGGUUUGUAGCACCGUGCACAGAGGUUUAAGCCCUCUUUCUAUCA